AGUUAAAGAAAUAGAUUAGC
rnacentral:snRNA from 1 species